rnacentral:rRNA from 1 species
AGUGAACGCUGGCGGUAGGCCUAACACAUGCAAGUCGAACGGCAGCACAGUAAGAGCUUGCUCUUACGGGUGGCGAGUGGCGGACGGGUGAGGAAUACAUCGGAAUCUACUUUUUCGUGGGGGAUAACGUAGGGAAACUUACGCUAAUACCGCAUACGACCUACGGGUGAAAGCAGGGGAUCUUCGGACCUUGCGCGAUUGAAUGAGCCGAUGUCGGAUUAGCUAGUUGGCGGGGUAAAGGCCCACCAAGGCGACGAUCCGUAGCUGGUCUGAGAGGGUGAUCAGCCACACUGGAACUGAGACACGGUCCAGACUCCUACGGGAGGGAGCAGUGGGGAAUAUUGGAGAAUGGGCGCAAGCCUGAUCCAGCCAUACCGCGUGGGUGAAGAAGGCCUUCGGGUUGUAAAGCCCUUUUGUUGGGAAAGAAAAACAGCAGGUUAAUACCCCGCUGUUCUGACGGUACCCAAAGAAUAAGCACCGGCUAACUUCGUG